AACUUCUGGUUUUCUUAGUGACUG
rnacentral:piRNA from 1 species